rnacentral:rRNA from 1 species
UACGGAGGAUGCAAGCGUUAUCCGGAAUGAUUGGGCGUAAAGCGUCCGCAGGUGGCUGUUCAAGUCUGCUGUCAAAGACCGGGGCUCAACCUCGGAAAGGCAGUGGAAACUGAACAGCUAGAGUAUGGUAGGGGCAAAGGGAAUUCCUGGUGUAGCGGUGAAAUGCGUAGAGAUCAGGAAGAACAUCGGUGGCGAAGGCGCUUUGCUGGACCAUAACUGACACUCAGGGACGAAAGCUAGGGGAGCGAAUGGG